ACUAGUUCUCAUGAGCACAUCCUCGCUGCUUGACAGUAGAGAUGAUUAAUAGACUUGUUUUCUUCUUUAAAAAUCCUAUAAGAGCUCGGAUGACCGGAACGGACGAAUCAUUCCUACCGAAGGGGUCUGCAGGACAUGCUGCACGUGGAUGGGAGGCCUGCACGACUCGGGAAUGCUAGGAUCUGAAGGAACAUGAAGUACCCUGCACUUGUCCUCAUUGAACUCUGUGAGGUUCACCUUCACCCAGCUCUCCAGCCUGUCCAGAUCAUGAUGGAUAGCAGCACAACUUUCAGGUGUGUCAGCCACUCCUCCCAGUUUUGUGUCAUCAGUGAACUUGGAGAACCCUGAAGAACCUGGAGAAGUGCACAGAUGGCACCUGAAUGACAAAGUGGAGGCCUAAAUUUUAAAAUGACCAAUCAUCUAGUUGGUCUGAUGAUUGGACUGGUAAUAUUUUUCUGCAUCUUACCACUGACUUGUAACCAAAAAAAUGCUGAGUGGCCUUUGUCUGAAGCCAUUGUUUCUAGGUUUCUAGAGCCACUCACUCUCUAGGUCAUUACCCCAGAGAUCAUCUCCCAGUGUUGUAAUGCAUGGCACUGGAGUGUGCCACCUACUUGAGUGGGACAAAACAAACCACAUUAGAGUCCUGACUGGAAUAAUUGGAGAAAGGAGUCAGGUAGGAUGCAGAAAAGUAGAAGAAUCUCUUCAUGAAAGAGCCUCCUCAAUUAGAGUUGCUGGAAAUCUUUUCGAUCCAAAUUUGACAACCACAUUAAUCCCAACAUCACUGCAGAGUUUUGUCCUUCUGCAGAUUGGAAAUAUGACAAGCAAGAGUCCCUCAUCAUUUUGGUUGCCACCAAAAAUAUGUCAGUAACUACACCUUCAACCCGAGUACCUACAAUGUUGAAAUCACCAGAUUCUGUGGGAACAAGAAAAGUGAUGUGGUACAACUUCACUUUGACUAAGGCUGUCUCUGUGGUGUUGUCGUGGUUUUUUUUCAAAGAGAGCACAACAGAGAUUAAACUCUCAAAUCAAAUUGGAGAGAAAAUACAGAAUUAUAUUUAGAGAGAGAAAACAGCGAUAGACAUUACAAAGCAAUUACCAUGGCAAACCCCCUUGAAGUUUUCCCCAUCCCCCAAAAAACUAUAUCUACACUCCCCAGUGCUCCAAUCCUCUCCCCCCCUCAAUGCCUCCGCCAUCCAAGAGGCCUACUGCUCACAUGUUCCAAAUAAAGUCGCUCCCGCCACACACUCAGGGCAGGAGGAGGAGGAAAGGAGAGCGAACUGACCUUGUUAUCAGUCUAUAAAGAGAUAGCAGAAUUAUGGGAUUGAAUAACAAUCUUCUAGUCCCAGGAAUUUUUUUUUAACCCUAUAGCCUCAACCUGGGACAUUCCACCCCUAUAUUCAAUCCCAUAAUUUCUGCUCAUCACACUACUCAUCUAACUAGAAAUAGAUUCUCUAUAUAGUGAACAGUGCCAUCAAAAUACUGCAUCGUUCUGGUGCUUUCCUUCAAAUCCAUCUGUCGCUCAGCUCCUGGACACAACACUUCUCAUCGAAUGGGACUUCUCGGAUGACAUCAACUAUCUGAAAGAAACUCAGUAACAACUUGCACAUACUUUAAACUCAAACUGUCUCAGUCCAAAUCAAAACUUGCACUUGAUCUUGCCACCCUCCUGCAUUGCCCAGCAUACAUGUCCUGGACUUCACCCACCAGGAGAUAACCACCCCUUGGACAGGUUGUAUCCCCACCCAAAGGCAGAAAACACACAUACAAUUGUCCAACAAAUCCUUUUCACAAACAAGGGAACUCUGUUUCCAUCUGCAUUGUGCUCAGCAGCACUCAACAUCAAGUAAUGGACUUGAGUCCAUUCUCACUCAAAUCAUUGCAGUCUGUGCAUCCAAGCAGCCGCCCACUGCAAAGUCUCAAUUACUCAUUGCAGAUUCUCCUAGAGUUCUUCUCAGCACAAUCUGGCUCAGUCAUCUCAAAUCGUGUGUCUCCACCCCAGGGGCAGUCAAAUGGGGCAACUAAGUCCAGUUCACUUCCAUUUUUUCUUCAAGCUGUUGUUCCACGUUUCUUCUCAGUUAUGCAGGACUGAAGAUCCCUUUGUCACAGGUGAAUUCCAUCUCUCUAUCGCACAUGAGUUACAGUAUCUACAAGAUACUGUACAGUAUCUACAAGACAUGCUUCCACUUGUCUCUUGUACCAGGCCAUCCACCACCCCUGAGAGUUCCAUCCUGCAGUUCCUCUUCUCUAGCUGCACAAUCAAAGUGAACCCCCACACCACCAGUCCGUGCCCUUAUCUUCCUUCCCCAGUCUACUUCAAAUUUAUUUAACCUUUCCCAGCACCUCUCCCUCCACCUUCUCAACAGACAACUGAGAAGGAGGAGGUUCUGGCAGUGGACGAGAAGCAGGUGGCAGAAUAGGGAAGAGAUCCUCUACAGGAUGAAUGCCAUUCACUACAACUGCUGCCUGACUAGGAGCGUCCAUCCUCAGCACUGCCUCACCAAGCCAGAGGAGGCACUACCGUCAGGGCGCCCUUGCGUCUCACCUGCCGCUUGAGCUCGGCACCAGAGCUGCCACUGCCACUACUCCUGGCUGGCUACUCUGUGCAGAACCAGGCAGUGUGCUCGGGAAGCGGGGCAAACCUCCUGCCCCUCCCAUGCUCGGUACCGCCAGUUCCGCCACUGUAAAGUUAAGACUGAGUCGCAGCGGGGGAAGGGGGUCCCCAUUGCCGCUCUCCACAUCUUCCCCAGCAGGACACAUUCCAAAUGCAGGCCCUCCAUCUACAGCCUCAGCCUGCCCAUACACACUGCCCAUGCUGGGACACCAAAGAACGGCCGUUUCUUCCGAAGUCACCGGCUCGUCUCCUGAAUAGGGAGUGGCUGCGCUCAGCAAGAGGCGGGCCACCACGGCCAUCAGCCCGCCACGGAGGGCACCGCUGCUUCCGCGUGACGCCAUCUUCGAAGCGCUGCCUGGAUCUGCGGGUCAUGGGGAGGCCACCGGCACAGCUGGAGCCGCCUGCGUUUCCACUGCCCGCAUUUCCACCGGCCGCAGAUUCCCAUCAAGAGGGGAAAACUUACACGGGUUUGCCUGCUCUGCCCUCCCCCACCCCUCCAGCUCGCCCCGGGCAGGGCCGCUCGGCACCGCGGUGUGGGUCAGCAAGAGCUGUGGCCGCUUCAGGGGCUGGGGUCCCAUAGCAUCAUCAACCACCUCAGAAACUCGUUUCUCGCCGCUUCCUUCUCCCCGCUCUGCCACCCAGGAGGGGAGCAGCGCACUUCUCCAAGCCUUCCAGCUCUCCAUACCAGCUUCACUAAGAGGCACCAUUUUCCGUAAGCUCUAACUCUGUAUUUUUCUCCACUUCAGUCCAUGCACAACCAACCAUCUCGUUCCCCAUACGGGCCACCAAAAUUCUGUCGUGUUGUUUUUUUUUUUUCAAAGAGAGCACAACAGAGAUUAAACUCUCAAAUCAAAUUGGAGAGAAAAUACAGAAUUAUAUUUAGAGAGAGAAAACAGCAAUCGACAUUGCAAAAGCAAUUACCAUGGCAACCCCCCUUGAAGUUUCCCCCAUCCCCCAAAAAACUAUAUCUACACUCCCCAGUGCUCCAAUCCUCCUCCCCAAUGGCUCCGCCAUCCAAGAGGCCUACUGCUUACAUGUUUCCUGAUAAAUUGGCUCCCGACAAACACUCAGGGCAGGAGGAGGAGGAAAGGAGAGCGAACUGACCUUGUUAUCAGUCUGUAAAGAGAUAGCAGAAUUAUGGGAUUGAAUAACAAUCUUCUAGUCCCAGGAAAAUUUUUUUAACCCUAUAGCCUCAACCUGGGACAGGUGUGCAAUUGGCAAAUUUGUCCACCAGAUCAGACUGGCCUAUUAAGCCUGAUGUUCAAAUUAAAAAUAAAUACCACAACAAAGCCUCCGGUGAUGCUUGUUGCAGUAGUCACACAUCGCGCUGUGGAUGCUCUCUUUACACUAACUAGCAAAAGUCAAGUUUCAUCUUCUUUUAGAGUGGCAUGGGGUGACAACAUCACAAUACAAUGCAGGCUGAUUACUGAAUCCCUUGUUGAACCCACAAAGAGUUAUGGAACUGGACUGCAGUGCCCUGUGUUGUUGUGCAAAAAUUAAAGCCAAAAUUGCUGGCUAAAUCUGACUUCUGUACAGUAUUCCCACAAAGUCAUGUGGGGUAAAAACAAUACAAGGUACUGGGGAGAGCUCACCUGAUGUCCUGCUCUGGCAGGAGGAUUGGACUAGAUGAUCUUUGAGGGUCCCUUCCAGCCCCUGACAUUCUGUGAUUCUGUGAAAACAGAUGUUGUAAUACCUACUACCCAACCAACUGUUGUGCUUAGUCCUAAGAUUUUCCCAAAUUGGCCCAUAUGAAAUCAGAAAUAUAGGCCAACAACAAAUGUUCAGUCCAGUACGUCCUUUAAACAAGUUGAUUUGCUAAUGCAGAAUGUUUCUGAGAUUCAGACAGUUUGCUCACCUUUCCUAAAAACAUCUUCUGAGAGAUAGACAACUUUCAUGAGGAAUCAGCUUCCAUCUAAGAAAUGAAUGCAGAGGGAUGUAGCUGGUGUUUUGGGCACAGGAUUGGGAGUUCUAAAUAGUAUUGAUUCAAAGGUAUUGGUGAACAAAUUGGCUACUACAACUAGUGAUCUGGCUAAGUUGCAACAGCCCUGUUAACUUUGGAAACUAACCAGUGGCUGCUAUUAAAUGUAUUACCAAAAUGGGGAAAAGUGAAUGUAAAAAAGAUCAGUAAUUGAUUGUAGAUGAAUUUGGUGUGAUCCAGAAUAACCUCUCUCUGGCUCUCAAUUGUAUCCAGGUUCAGCUGUGGAUACAAUCAGUAGCUGCCUCAAUCAUAAGAGAAGGUGAAGAAGGCACUUUGCCUACUGAAAUUCAGGAAAUAGUUUGAGACAGUGCCACUGACUUUGAAAGAGAACUCCAUUCCCGGUGGACCUUGGUAAAUUUCACUUAUGAUCCUGACACCAACACAGCUACAACUUUCUUGUUAGCCAUAUACAAUGUGUCAGUAUGUUCAAUUCACCUUGUUAUUGCAUUGGGAUUAUACCACAAUGGAGCUGUACUCUAUCCUUUUGAGCAUAGAAUAUGGGCCCAAAAGGUGGAUAAGAAAUGGCAAACUGUGGAUUUAGAACAAGGUUUCAUCUGUGAGAGUAAUAUAAUCAGAGCCCAGGAUAUUUGUUUGAACACUGAACAGAAUGUUUGUAAUUUUCAGCACCCUGAAACAGUGCUUGUGUAUAUUGACAAAGGGUGUGUAUGUUUCAGGACUGCUUGUGAUUUUGUGUCUGUAGACAAUGUGUAUGUAAACAGUAAGAAUAAUUCAAACUUCUGUGCUUGAAAUUUCACUGACGUCACUGAAUGUGACUUUUCUUAUACAUCUCCAGUCACAUCCUACCAGCUUUUGCAGUCUAACUACACACUGAUUCUGGGCUGUUGCUUGUAACCAUUGGGAUAAAUUUCACUUUAGUAAGGCAACUGCUACAACACCAAUAAUUUAUCAGAAUUUUGGAAAUGGUCAGAGAUAAUGGUCAGAAAACCUUGUUCAUCACAACGUGGAAGAAAUACACUAUGUUUUGAAAAGGAUUGCAAAGGAUGCAGAACAUAGAUGGUGUGACACACUUUUCAAAUGGUUGCCUACUUCUACAGGCAUCGUGGACAAGUUGUGUCACCUCAUUGUUGUUUUUGGUUUUGAUCUGUUUUGUUCUGUCAGUCAUACUGUAUAUCAUAAAUUGGAGAAUGAUGAAUCAGAUAACACAUUUGACAUCAGUACUUGAUGCAUAUAAUCUACUCAUUGUCCCAUCUAAUAUUGACAUCCCCAAAUUAAUCGAUACCAAGAUUGAUUGAGAUGGAAAAUGAUUUAAGAUGAGAAGAUUUCUUUUUAUGUAUAUUUCAAAGUCAUUGAUGUCUUUUAUAAAUUGUUUCAUAAAAUAAUAAUACUUUUUAAAAUAUUUUUUCUCCCUUCCUAUUACUUUUCCCUGUCUACUUCUCUGUCUCUCUAUCUGUUUCUCUCUCUCUCUGUGGCUCAAGCUACCAUCAUGCGAUUCCAGUGAUAACUCUGAGACAUGGAGGAGUAUAAGGAGUGGUCCAAAGAACAUUUUCUGUGUCAUUAUUGUCAUCAGGGAUUGGGACUCCCAUGCCCCAAGGACUUGGACUGAUAUUCAGGCUAACAUCUUAGCAGCCUACUCGAUAAUAAGUUACUGCUUAAGUUACUGUGAGGGACUUAAUCUUGUCUCCCUUGUACAUUUAAAUCAACAAAGAUAAAGCUCGUCUUCGCUCACGCGGUUUGCUGAAAUGCUAUGGGAAGUGUAUUGAUGUGAGGGUGGAAGCCCACUGCCAGUGCCAGACCCCUGCAGGCACAAAGGCUCCUGGGAUGUGCAACAAUUUUUGUAAACAACCUACCUGAUGGGUCAGCUCUGCCCACUGAUAAUACACUUGGGAGUCACUUACAUGGUAAUGUGACUACGAUGGCCAGGGGGAGCUGCUAAAAACUGAAUAAAAGACACUGGGCCUAUCCCAGCUUUAUUGAGUGUUCAAGAGGGUGAGUGAGUGGGAGAAGACAUCACCAUGGACAUCCAACCUGGAAACAGCAGCCCAGGAACAUUCUCUCCAUCACCACCACCAACCACCAUGCUGUGCCCUAUGUUUUGCCUGCUGUAGGAAGAAAAUAAAAACUCCCAAAGAAGAACUCCUGAAGAAGAGCUCCACUGAAGACAGCACUCGCUGGAAAAUUACCCCUGGCCAACACAAACUGACAAGGACUUGGACUUUGGAAACCUCUUCUGGACCAGGACUGUUACUGAGCCUGUACAAUGGAAUGUGGUCUCCAUGGAUUUGCAGGUGCAGGCCCUGUAGGAAGAGACCUGCCUGGUACCAACAGUCCAUACCUGCCAAGCUUGAUGGAUGAAUCCACUCUCCACGAUUAUUGCUUCAGAAUAAAGGAACAUAACUGCUGCCAAAAGGGACUGAUGCCCUAGUAUUGCUAAGGGAACCAUGAACAUUAGUGAACUUUGCUCAUUUUAAUGUCAUUAUAAUAUGGAAACACACCUCCUGGCCUAAGGCUAUCUGCCUCCAAGGCAGAUGGUGCCUUGGGUACACUUCCUUAGGCCAAGACUACACCUCAGUCAUUCCUCCUUGGGCAUGUGUGGAAGCUUUACUCAUGGGGGACAGAUAGACACAGAGUUCAGACAUCGGCAGGUAUGAAAGUGAUUAUAAAAGAUGUCUCCCUAGCAACAGGACAAGAAGAAUAAUAAGAGUUUUCCCCACUAGGAACAAGGAGAAAGAAAAGAUUAGAAGGACCAGCAGGACUGGACCUGGGACCAAAGAGAUGUCUUUGGACCCUUGCAUUGGUGGUAGCUAUAAACCACUUUCUCUUUUCUCUCUUCACUUUACUCUGUUUUACCUUUCCCCUUUCUCCUCUCACUUUUCUCUGCAUCUUAUGGGCAAACAAUAAAGUUUUUCUGGUGACUGAAGUGAA